AGAGUCGGGCUCUGGAGAACGGGACUGAGACACGGCCCAAACUCCUACGGGAGGCAGCAGUAGGGAAUCUUCCACAAUGGACGCAAGUCUGAUGGAGCAACGCCGCGUGAGUGAAGAAGGUCUUCGGAUCGUAAAGCUCUGUUGUUGGUGAAGAAGGAUAGAGGCAGUAACUGGUCUUUAUUUGACGGUAAUCAACCAGAAAGUCACGGCUAACUACGUGCCAGCAGCCGCGGUAAUACGUAGGUGGCAA
rnacentral:rRNA from 1 species